GUUGAUCAUUUUUCUCUCAAUGUACAACUUUUCGUUAUACAUAACAUAAAUGUAAAUACCUAUGUAAGUGUAGCGGGUGUUUCCCGGCGAUAAGAGCAACUGCGCUUUAGCGCUGAAUCUAGAAAUUGUAAAUACCGCAGCAUCAGUUUAAAUCGAGACUUGCAACAAACCAAACGUAUACGAAAUGAAUAUUAAAGUGGCGCUACUUUUAGUAUUAGCAGCGAUUGCAAUGGCAACAGGAUUUGUGGCGCCGGAUUGUCCACCAUGGACACAAUGCUGGAAGGAUUAUAAAAGCGGCAGAAUUAAAUACUGAAUUUUGUUAUCGUUGUUAAUUUAAUCUUAAUCACAUAUUUGGUGUAGUUGUUGCCAGAGUUAUUAUUUGAAUAUUAAAUGAAAUUGACAAAUCAAA